rnacentral:rRNA from 1 species
AGGCCUUGACAUGCAGUGAACUUUCCAGAGAUGGAUUGGUGCCUUCGGGAACUCUGACAC